rnacentral:rRNA from 1 species
UACGGGGGGGGCAAGCGUUGUUCGGAAUUACUGGGCGUAAAGGGCUCGUAGGCGGCCAACUAAGUCGAACGUGAAAUCCCUCAGCUUAACUGGGGAACUGCGUCCGAUACUGAUUGGCUUGAAUCCGGAAGAGGGAUGCGGAAUUCCAGGUGUAGCGGUGAAAUGCGUAGAUAUCUGGAGGAACACCGGUGGCGAAGGCGACUUCCUGGCCUGUUCUUGACGCUGAGGCGCGAAAGCUAGGGGAGCAAACGGG